UGGGAUGUAGCUCAGUGAUAGAGUGCUUCCCUGGCAUGCUUGAGACCCUGGGUUCAAACCCCAGUACCACAC
rnacentral:tRNA from 1 species